UUUUAUGGCCAUGCCACCCUGAACAAGCCCGAUCCCGUCUGAUCUCGGAAGCUAAGCAGGGUCGGGCCUGGUUAGUACUUGGAUGAGAGACCACCUAGGAAGACCAGGUGCUGUAAGCA
rnacentral:rRNA from 1 species